AGUCGAACGGCAGCACGGGAGCAAUCCUGGCGGCGAGUGGCGAACGGGUGAGUAAUAUAUCGGAACGUGCCCAGUCGUGGGGGAUAACGCAGCGAAAGCUGUGCUAAUACCGCAUACGAUCUACGGAUGAAAGCGGGGGAUCGCAAGACCUCGCGCGAUUGGAGCGGCCGAUAUCAGAUUAGCUAGUUGGUGGGGUAAAGGCCCACCAAGGCGACGAUCCGUAGCUGGUCUGAGAGGACGACCAGCCACACUGGAACUGAGACACGGUCCAGACUCCUACGGGAGGCAGCAGUGGGGAAUUUUGGACAAUGGGCGCAAGCCUGAUCCAGCAAUGCCGCGUGCAGGAUGAAGGCCUUCGGGUUGUAAACUGCUUUUGUACGGAACGAAACGGUCUCUUCUAAUAAAGGAGGCUAAUGACGGUACCGUAAGAAUAAGCACCGGCUAACUACGUGCCAGCAGCCGCGGUUAUACGUAGGGUGCGAGCGUUAAUCGGAAUUACUGGGCGUAAAGCGUGCGCAGGCGGUUAUAUAAGACAGAUGUGAAAUCCCCGGGCUCAACCUGGGACCUGCAUUUGUGACUGUAUAGCUAGAGUACGGUAGAGGGGGAUGGAAUUCCGCGUGUAGCAGUGAAAUGCGUAGAUAUGCGGAGGAACACCGAUGGCGAAGGCAAUCCCCUGGACCUGUACUGACGCUCAUGCACGAAAGCGUGGGGAGCAAACAGGA
rnacentral:rRNA from 1 species